rnacentral:rRNA from 1 species
GAAGCGGCGGUCUCGUCCACCACCACCACCACCACCGGUGAGCGAUGUUGGUGGCGGGGAAGGCGAAGGCGAGCGGCGGCAAGCGGGGCGGGGCCAAGGACCCCGACGAGGCACCCCGGUCCGAUAAGAGGCGGCGCGACAUGGACGACUCCGACNNNNNNNNNNNNNNNGACAGUGACUUCAAGCAGAUCGUGACGAUGCUGCGCCACAUCAAGGACAAGGCUCACAAGGACGGCCAGAAGAAGACGGCCAUCUCCAGCGUUGCAACAGAGAUUCAAUCUAUGGUACAGAACACCAAGGCAAAGUUUGAGAAGGAAAGUGUGAAGGUUCAUUGAAGACCGAGUACACCAAGUUUCAAGCCACUCAUGACAAGUUCUGCAUAGACAAAGCUCCACACACACAGAAUUUCAAAGAUCUUUUCUCAAAGUUUGAGGUUGAAAAGGAGAAACUGAUAGUUCAAUAUGAACAGCAAAGUAAGUAGAUGCUUACACCACUUAUCCAUGCUAUUACUUGUCUUAUAAAUAGUUCCUGUGUGUCGAAGAUUCGUUGCUCUUACUCAACUACUAAGAAGGAGAAGACCUCUCUUUCUGAUGUUGAGAAAAGAGUUUCAGAGAAGCUAGCAGAUGCAGAAGAAUCAAGUUGAAGCAGGGCGACAAAUCCAUCAGCAAGCUUCACAAGUCCUUUGCCUCGUUCCUGGGCCCCGACGAGGAGGAGGACUGCUACGUCUCUUGCCAGAUGGCCUGUCUUUCAGAUCGAUGUGGAUAGUGGUGUGGUUUUGAAGAAGAGAGAUGAUGCACAGCACAGGGGAAAGAUAGAGUAGGUUCUGUAGGAUUUGCUAGCUUCUUAACCCGCACGGCUCAUAUGGUUUUGGUGUUGUACGGUUGUGGUGUCUGUCUUUCAGAUUCGACAUGGAUAGUGGUAUAUGGUUCUGAAGAACAGAGAUGACGCACAACAUAGGGGAAAUAGAGUAGGUUCCAUAGGAUUUUGAUAUCUUCACUCGCACGGUUCAUGUGAUUUUGGUUUUGGUUUCGGCUUCGGUCUGCA